CACGUAGGGCGCAAGCGUUGUCCGGAAUUAUUGGGCGUAAAGAGCUCGUAGGCGGUUUGUCGCGUCGAAUGUGAAAUCCCGGGGCUCAACCCCGGGCCUGCAUUCGAUACGGGCAGACUAGAGUUCGGUAGGGGAGUCUGGAAUUCCUGGUGUAGCGGUGAAAUGCGCAGAUAUCAGGAGGAACACCGAUGGCGAAGGCAAUCCCCUGGGCCUGCACUGACGCUCAUGCACGAAAGCGUGGGGAGCAAACAGG
rnacentral:rRNA from 1 species